rnacentral:lncRNA from 1 species
UAGCUGAGAGUGUGCAAUAUUCUGAGACUGCACAGAGUAUAUGGGCACAACUCGAAGCCAGAUAUGGUACAGCUAAUAGAACCGAAAUUUUUGAACUCAAAAGAAAACUCUCUCAAACUUCUCAAGGACCUCUAGAUAUAGCAUCAUAUUUUAACAAACUCACAGGGCUGUGGGAUGAGUUAGGAGUAGUGUGUACAAAUCAUGGCCAAAGGUGUAUUUGUGCUGCCAAAAAUGGCAUCAUACAGGAGGAUGAGGAGAAUAAGGUGUUUCAAUUCCUCAUGGGCCUUAAUGAGACAUAUAUGGGGAUAAGGAGCAACUUGUUGAUGAUGCAACCUCCCCCUAGUCUUGACAUUGUGUAUAACAUUCUCCUCAAUGAUGAGAAACAAAGAUAAGGAGCAACUUGCUGAUGAUGCAACCUCCCCUACCCUCGACAGUGUCUAUAACAUACUCCUCAAUGAUGAGAAACAAAGACAAGUCUAGUCUAUUUCCCAGUUCAAUCCUGAUUCUAUGUCUUUCAGUAUCAACACACAAAAAUUCUAUACCUUCUUUUGGAAUGAAUCAAGUUUCAGUGCCCAACCCUUCUCCUCUCAGACAGUAUACACAAAAAGUUACUUUUGACCAAACCAGAGGACCUCUAUUUUGUAGAUAUUGCAAGAAGUCUAGGCACUUAAAAAAUAAGUGUUACAAGCUUCAUGGGUUUCCACAAAGCACCAAGUUUAACAAAGGCAAGAGAAUUGCUGCUGCUCAUAU